rnacentral:rRNA from 1 species
GAUGAACGCUGGCGGCGUGCCUAAUACAUGCAAGUCGAGCGAACAGACGAGGAGCUUGCUCCUCUGACGUUAGCGGCGGACGGGUGAGUAACACGUGGAUAACCUACCUAUAAGACUGGGAUAACUUCGGGAAACCGGAGCUAAUACCGGAUAAUAUAUUGAACCGCAUGGUUCAAUAGUGAAAGACGGUUUUGCCGUCACUUAUAGAUGGAUCCGCGCCGCAUUAGCUAGUUGGUAAGGUAACGGCUUACCAAGGCAACGAUGCGUAGCCGACCUGAGAGGGUGAUCGGCCACACUGGAACUGAGACACGGUCCAGACUCCUACGGGAGGCAGCAGUAGGGAAUCUUCCGCAAUGGGCGAAAGCCUGACGGAGUAACGCCGCGUGAGUGAUGAAGGUCUUCGGAUCGUAAAACUCUGUUAUUAGGGAAGAACAAAUGUGUAAGUAACUAUGCACGUCUUGACGGUACCUAAUCAGAAAGCCACGGCUAACUACGUG